CAGUCGCCACGGUAAAACAGAGGGUGCGAGCGUUAAUCGGAUUUACUGGGCGUAAAGCGUGCGUAGGCGGCUUCUUAAGUCGGAUGUGAAAUCCCUGAGCUUAACUUAGGAAUUGCAUUCGAUACUGGGAAGCUAGAGUAUGGGAGAGGAUGGUAGAAUUCCAGGUGUAGCGGUGAAAUGCGUAGAGAUCUGGAGGAAUACCGAUGGCGAAGGCAGCCAUCUGGCCUAAUACUGACGCUGAGGUACGAAAGCAUGGGGAGCAAACAGGAUUAGAUACCCGUGUAGUCCCUGUCUCUUAUAA
rnacentral:rRNA from 1 species